rnacentral:rRNA from 1 species
AAUAUUGCGCAAUGGAGGGAACUCUGACGCAUCGUCGCCGCGCGAGCGAUGAAGGUUUUCGGAUCGUAAAGUUCUGUCCUUGGGGAAGAAGGUCUUCGGACUUGACGGGACGUAAGGAGGAAGUCCCGGCUAACUACGAGCCAGCAGCCGCGGUAAUACGUAGGGGGCAAGCGUUGUCCGGAAUUAUUGGGCGUAAAGGGUGCGUAGGCGGCCUUUUAAGUCAGGUGUGAAAGCCCACGGCUUAACCGUGGGAUUGCAUUUGAAACUGGAAGGCUUGAGUAUCGGAGAGGGUAGUGGAAUUCCCAGUGUAGCGGUGGAAUGCGUAGAUAUUGGGAGGAACACCAGUGGCGAAGGCGACUACCUGGACGAAAACUGACGCUGAGGCACGAAAGCUAGGGGAGCAAAC